rnacentral:snRNA from 1 species
GAAUUCCUUUGGUAGUACAUAUUUCAAAAUUGGAACGAUGCUGAGAUUAGCAUGGCACGAGGAUGACACAGAAAUUCAUGAAACGUUCCCUAUUUUC